rnacentral:rRNA from 1 species
AGUGAACGCUGGCGGCAGGCCUAACACAUGCCAGUCGAACGGCAGCACAGUAAGAGCUUGCUCUUACGGGUGGCGAGUGGCGGACGGGUGAGGAAUACAUCGGAAUCUACUUUUUCGUGGGGGAUAACGUAGGGAAACUUACGCUAAUACCGCAUACGACCUACGGGUGAAAGCAGGGGAUCUUCUGACCUUGCGCGAUUGAAUGAGCCGAUGUCGGAUUAGCUAGUUGGCGGGGUAAAGGCCCACCAAGGCGACGAUCCGUAGCUGGUCUGAGAGGAUGAUCGGCCACACUGGAAGUGAGACACGGUCCAGGCUCCUACGAGAGGCAGCAGUGGGGAAUAUUGGACAAUGGGCGCGAGCCUGAUCCAGCCAUACCGCGUGGGUGGAGAAGGCCUUCGGGUUGUAAAGCCCUUUUGUUGGGAAAGAAAAGCAGCAGGUUAAUACCCCGCUGUUCUGACGGUACCCAAAGAAUAAGCACCGGCUAACUUCGUG